AAUUGACGGGACCCGCACAAGCGGUGGAUGAUGUGGUUAAAUUCGACGCAACGCGAAAAACCUUACCUACCCUUGACAUGCCUGGAAUCCUGCAGAGAUGUGGGAGUGCUCGAAAGAGAGCCGGAACACAGGUGCUGCAUGGCCGUCGUUAGCUCGUGUCGUGAGAUGUUGGGUUAAGUCCCGCAACGAGCGCAACCCUUGUCAUUAGUUGCUACGAAAGGGCACUCUAAUGAGACUGCCGGUGACAAACCGGAGGAAGGUGGGGAUGACGUCAAGUCCUCAUGGCCCUUAUAGGUGGGGCUACACACGUCAUACAAUGGCUGGUACAGAGGGUUGCCAACCCGCGAGGGGGAGCCAAUCCCACAAAGCCAGUCGUAGUCCGGAUCGCAGUCUGCAACUCGACUGCGUGAAGUCGGAAUCGCUAGUAAUCGCGGAUCAGAAUGUCGCGGUGAAUACGUUCCCGGGUCUUGUACACACCGCCCGUCACACCAUGGGAGCGGGUUCCGCCAGAAGUAGGUAGCCUAACCGCAAGGGGGGCGCUUACCACGGCGGGGUUCGUGACUGGGGUGAAGUCGUAACAAGGUAGCCGUAGGGGAACCUGCGGCUGGAUCACCUCCUUAUCUG
rnacentral:rRNA from 1 species